rnacentral:rRNA from 1 species
AGAGUUUGAUCCUGGCUCAGGAUAAACGCUGGUGGCGUGCCUUACCAAUGCGAGUCGAACGAGGUCAGGUUUCGGCCUGGUCGAGUGGCGCCCGGGUGCGCGACACGUCGGUGACCUACCCCGCUGUGGGGAAUACCCUGCCGAAAGGUGGGCUAAUACCGCAUGCGAUCCCCGGUCGAACGGGGAUGAAAGCCCGCAAGGGCGCUGUGGGAGGGGCCGGCGGCCUAUCAGCUUGUUGGUGGGGUAAUGGCCUACCAAGGCGACGACGGGGAGCCGAUCUGAGAGGAUGACCGGCCACAGUGGGACUGAGAUAUGGUCCACAGCCCUACGGGGUUUAGCAUGGAGGAAUCUUGCGCAACAUCCGAAAGGAUGGCGCAGCAACGCCGCGUGAGGGACGAAGCCGUUUGCGGUGUAAACCUCUGUUGCUCGGGAAGAAGUACCGCGGGGAGAGCCUCACGGGAAGACGGUACCGGGCGAGGAAGCCCCGGCUAACUACGUGCCAGCAGCCGCGGUAAU